rnacentral:rRNA from 1 species
GAUGAACGCUAGCGGCAGGCUUAAUACAUGCAAGUCGAGGGGGCAGCACGAAUAGCAAUAUUUGGUGGCGACCGGCAAACGGGUGCGGAACACGUACGCAACCUUCCUUUAAGUGGAGAAUAGCCCGGGGAAACCCGGAUUAAUACUCCGUAACAUUAUAAAGUGGCAUCACUUAGUAAUUAUAGAUUUAUCGCUUAAAGAUGGGCGUGCGCCUGAUUAGGUAGUUGGCGGAGUAAUAGCCCACCAAGCCUGCGAUCAGUAACUGGUGUGAGAGCACGACCAGUCACACGGGCACUGAGA